AUGCUCACUUUGGCAGUACGUAUACUAAAAUUGGAACGAUAGCAUGGUCCCUGUGCAAGGAUAACAUGCAAAUUUGUGAAGCAUUCCAUAUUUAA
rnacentral:snRNA from 1 species